AAGGGUACGCAGGCGGCCAUGUAAGUCAGAUGUGAAAGGCUACGGCUUAACCGUAGCAAGCAUUUGAAACUGUGUGGCUUGAGUUAAGGAGAGGAAAGUGGAAUUCCUGGUGUAGCGGUGAAAUGCGUAGAUAUCAGGAGGAAUACCAGUGGCGAAGGCGACUUUCUGGACUUAUACUGACGCUGAGGUACGAAAGCGUGGGGAGCAAACAGGAUUAGAUACCCUGGUAGUCCACGCUGUAAAC
rnacentral:rRNA from 1 species